UACGAAGGGGGCUAGCGUUGCUCGGAAUUACUGGGCGUAAAGCGCACGUAGGCGGAUUGUUAAGUCGGGGGUGAAAUCCUGGAGCUCAACUCCAGAACUGCCUUCGAUACUGGCGAUCUCGAGUUCGGGAGAGGUGAGUGGAACUGCGAGUGUAGAGGUGAAAUUCGUAGAUAUUGGGAAGAACACCGAAUGGCGAAGGCAGCCAUCUGGACCGACACUGACGCUGAGGCGCGAAAGCGUGGGGAGCAAACAGG
rnacentral:rRNA from 1 species